AGGGAUAUUUUGGAAGUUUUGAGGCAUCUGCUGUCUCUGUGAUUCUCCUCCACUGUGGCAUACCACUGCUUUGUAGCCAUCUCGUCCAUAUUUGUAACAUUGUCCCCCGGGCCACGUACAAUCUCGUCUAAAAUGAGGUCCUCCACACCUAUAACAUAUAAGGCUCCCUUGAGGUUGUACUUUACCUUCAGUGGCAGUCUGGCUUGGUUUUGGGGUCU
rnacentral:lncRNA from 1 species